CCACCCCGGUAUUCGGGAAGAUUGGGGGCCGCCGCCUGUGUUGUUCGAUAUGAGACCAAAAGUCCUUAUUUUUGUCGUUUUCACAGGUGACGGUAAAGAAUCUGCGUACAGGGAAGGUGUGGGUUAUUUGCUGAAGGCCGCACAGCCAGGGAGUUAGCAGCUGUGCCAUGGUAUCUGACACCUAGUUUUGAUUUUAUUUAUUCCUGAUAGAGAGAGAGAGAGAGGGACAGAGACACGGGCAGCGGGAGAAGCAGGCUCCAUGCCAGGAGCCCGACGCGGGACUCGAUCCCAGGACCCCAGGAUCACACCCCGGGUCAAAGGCAGGCGCCAAACCACUGAGCCACCCAGGGAUCCCAGGAAACUACCUUUUUAUCUUUGGUCUAUCAGUCUUUUUUUCAGAGUUGUAUCACGUAAAGCAUUCACCUUCAGAUGGCUUCUUGGAAGCUGAAAAACAGAAGGACUAUCUGCUUUGCCCCAAAUUUUCCUGAUCCCUUCAGGCAUCAGUUGGGGACCCCGCUUUGUGUUGGUACCCAUCUGUGGGUGAGGCAGCUGAGGGGGGCAGGAGGGAGGCUGCUCUGUGUCUUCCCCCUUACUGCAUGUGCUACUGUUCCUGAGGCCUGGCUUGAAAAAAGCCCAGGACAUUCGGUUUAGACAGAUGGAGGGCAGGGUCAUUUUCAAAACGAAAUGAGUGCACAAAUCACACUGUGAAAUUGGCAUGACCAUCACUGCUGCUGUGAUAGACUGACUUUUAUUUAGUCUCUGAUAGGCAGUUGGGGAAUAGAUUAGUUUUUUUUUUUUGAGGUGGGGCGAAAAGAAGGCCCAUUAAUUAAUGAUAGAAAUUCUGGAAAGCAGUAAAUGGGAUGGAAUAUUAUAAAAUGUCAUAAAGGCUCAUUUUGUUUCCAAAAAUCUUGAAAACUGGAGCAUGUAUCAAAAGGUAAAUGUACCAUUCUGAACAAUAAGAAAACAUUUGGUGGUUUCAAUAAGAUGAUUUAGUGCCUUGUUGAAAGAAACCAGGCUUUGAGAAAAUGGUGUUGGACUUGAUGGAUUUUGCUGCAUAAGGAAGGGACGUUUACCAUGUAGAAGAAUUUCAUUUGCAAAAUGUGUAGGAGCUAAAAGUGUGACGUUUGGUUCCUCAUAUGUUUAUGUUUCUGCCUGCCAGAAUCAGAGAUGAUCAAAUCCUGUUCUGUUUGUAUGUAUAAUCUUUUCGCUAUUGGCUUGUAAAACAGUUGGAAGGUGGGAUUUCUUAUUUAUCCUGCAAGUGUGAUCCUUUCCUGUUGGUAAAGUCGUCAUUUCUGAACAUUUCAACUACCACAGCUCUGGGCAGACAUCUUCCUUGAUAACGGAAGACCUUCUGCAAAAACAUUUGCCAGGUGUUCUUUCUGUUUUCCUGUCAUUGCAGGACAUUUUCUUCAGGAUGGCCAGUUUCAGGGGCUCAGUUGCCUUGUUUCCUCUCAACAAUAAACAGGGAAAAAGAAUAAGUUACUGCCAAAUUGGCAAUGGAAUUGACUUUUAGGAGCAUCUGUUCAGUCUUUUAAUACUUUUGGAAAGGUUGCAUACCAAAUCAACACUUGGGGACAUUUAUGCUCAGAUAGUAAGCCAUUUAGUCUCAUUGUGAACUCUCUUUUUGCUGGUAGUUUCAGCUUUAUUAAUAUUUUAUUUUUUUAAAGAUUUUAUUUAUUUAUUUAUUUAUGAGAGACAGAGAGAGAGAGAGAGAGAGAGAGAGGCAGAGACACACGCAGAAGGAGAAGCAGGCUCCAUACAGGGAGCCCGACGUGGGACUCGAUCCCAGGUCUCCAGGAUCAGCCCUGAGCUGAAGGCGGCGCUAAACUGCUGAGCCACCCAGGGAUCCCCAGCUUUAUUAAUAUUUUAAUUAGAUUUCCUUCUUGGAUAUACCUUUUUUUUUUUAUCAAGUAGCUUAUAUUUGAGUGCUUACAGUGUUAUUAUCUAAAUUAACUUAUCAGGGAGAACACAAUAGCAUUAUAGUUUUAUAAGUGGAAUUAGUAGAGAAGGAACAACUGUGGAUACUGGCAUUUAAGGAAAGCAGCCAACCAUCCAAACAAAGAGCUACUCUAAGCCUCGUGUUUAUGCAGUACUCUCUGUACCAGAACCAGGUCCUGCUUUGCCUAACUUCCCUCAUUAAUCCUCACAGCCCUUCUGUGAAUUAGGUGACUCUUAACCCUUGGCCCCAUUGGAAAAUCCUGGGCUGCAAAGCACAAAAAGCAGCCUGUGGCUGCUGCAGCCAGCACGUGGGGACUGGCAAUUGCUUCGGCUGGCCAGUAGGGGCCAUACUGCACCUCUUCGCUCGCUCCCCCUAGGUACCUCCUCUCCAGUCAUUGGAAUUGGCUUUGGAUCAUUUGCUGCAGUUUGUUCUAAUAGAACAGACACAAUGGUGUAAGAAUUUUAAAGUUUAAGCACCGAAGCCGUUGUGUAAUUGUGUGGCGUCAGUGUGGCUGGCAGCCCUGCAUUGAUGCGAUCCCCCUGUGUAAUUGCCCACGCAAAUUCGAGCAAUCUGUAACGGACGCAGGAACCCACAUUCGCCUGCAGAUUCUUCUCCCUCCAGAAAAUCUUCAAUAAUUCGAAGAACCUUUUGUCAUCUUUAAAAUGCUCCAUGGACAGGAUGGUCUCAGUAUCCUUCUCAUAUGGGCUACAUUGACAGUCAAAAUUUAAAUCGUCAGUAUUCAGAUGCAUGCUUGCCUCUUCCAGUCAUUAAAUCACCCUUCUUCAGAGAGAUAAAGAUUAUUCCAGAGGCUUAGUAAAACUUUAAACACUUUAUUAAAAACAAAGAUAUUUAGGUUUCUAAAAGCAGACUGUUUCAAACUCAUGAAUUGGUUACUUGGGAAAUGGCCACGCAAUCUGUAAGGUAGUAUUCUUACAAUGAAACAUCAGCCUGGCAAAUAUGCACAAAGAGAGUCACUUUAAACAACUCAACUGAAGACAUAUUUCCCUUCUUUUGUGUCAAACAGUAAUAAUUAGGAUGCAAAUCCAGAGGGGAUCCUUUUUAGACUAUUGUAUAUCGAAAUAAAGUGGCAAAAGCAAUUUUCCCCCCUGGGAAUGAGACUUAACAAAACCUAAUCUCUCAUUUCUAAACUAUGCUGUUUCUUUCUUUUCCUUUCUCCCCACCCCUUUCUCUCUCUCUCUCGUUCAUCUAAAUAUGAUUUGAUCUAAAUCUAAAGAAAACACUGAGAUCCUAAUUAUAUAUAUAUACACACAGAAAGUGAACACAAAGAUGAUAGCUUCGAAUAGCACAUUUUUGACACAGCAAAUACUUCAUUUACUUAACAUAUUUCUGGGCCAGUGUAUUCAUUCAACAACAUUGGAGAUGUGUGUGUAUAUGUAUAUAUACAUAUAUAUAUGCUACACAGAUAAACUGAACUUUAGCCUUGUUGAGAGAUGUGCUAAAUAUGCGAGAACGUUCAAAAUUAAAUCAGAGAAGAGGUAACCCCAAAUUACUAGCUGAGGAAAAAGGUGGUAACAAAUAGUGUAAGGACACCAGGUACUGCUGAACUGUGUGCUCCUCAUGACGUUCCCUGGACACGCUUCAUUUUGUUUCUGCCAUCUCUGUGUUUGAUUCUGUUACUGCUCACUUAAGAAAUUCUGGCCUGCUCGUGGCCAGGCUCACCCUUUACAUUUCCUGCUGCAUUUGAAUUUGGGGAGUUCUUUACAGCAAGCAGGAGAACAACUGUUUCAGAGACUUGCUCCGAAGCAGACAAUGAAACCUCCCUGCACUGACACUGCCAGAGUUUUCAGGGUCCAGAAUUAGGUUUUGUUCUGUUGUUUAAUGAAUCCUCUGAGUUUUUAUUUUUUCCAGCCCAGACAUUUUUCUUUAGAUUUAAAUCUUCCCCCCCCAUGUGUUUAGAUUUUUGUCCUGCUUAAAGGGAGUUGACACUAUUUCUGGGGAUGAGACUGUAUUUUAUCUUUCUGCAAUUCAUUAAGAGUCAGCAGGAGAAAUGGAUUUUAAAAUAAUUGUACGGCAAAGUAAAUUGAGCAGACUGUGUUUAAUGACCUAAGGUAAGUGGAUAAAGUAUGAUAAAUUUUGAUACCUGAAAAACAACUGAAUUCCUGUAGUGUUAAUAUUAGAUAAUGUUAUUAUGCUAACAAAAUUUUAAAGAUGAUUUCUAAUCCAACCCAAUGUGUAUGUAAAUAUAAAAUACCUAUAAAUGUAUAGACCACUCAGAUUUUAGAAAUAAACACAUACAAUUUUAAUUGCAUUUGACUCAUUUCAUAAAUUGACUUCUAAAUUAUAGUGACUGCCAUUUGUGGGAUAUCUAGAUGUGAGAUAAUCUAAGACUGUCCUUUAUGAAGUAAAAGGGUGUAUUUAAAAAAAAUUGUCCUGAUGACCAUAUUUUUUAUGAUCACUAGAGGCAGGCUCAGAUCUAUCUGUAGUAAGGCUGUUUUAUAUUUAACCCAUAUAUGUAACUUUUUAUUCUGUCUUUAGAAGACGACCUCCUUUAGGUUUGGUCCUGUUUUAUUUGAGAAGAGUAAGUAAGACAAUUAUGUGGAAAACACUUUAAAAAUUAAAUACAGCUUGGUCCUCCAGUGUAGAAGGGAACUGAAUAAAAGCCAGCAUCUUUCUUUUACAGUUGGAAAACCCAAGACCUGAAGGGUCCCAAGAGAACAGGUCCAGCUGGUGGCCAAGUCAGGGGGGAGCCCCCCUCUGCUCUGCAUUGUGUGGUGCCCUUAAUGGUCUGCACACUGUCCCUCUUGGCCAGGA